rnacentral:lncRNA from 1 species
GUCUACUAUCUUUUCUAAAAUAAGGCCCACCCAGUUAUGAUCAAACUGAAAGAAGAGAGAGAAUAAAUGGGAGACUUUGAUGUUCAUUUAAUAUCACACUAAAAAUCUGCAACUCCAUUAAAAAAAUUUCCAUGAUACCCCAAUGGAAUCCCUUUUACAUCCUUUAACCUAAGCCAGGGUUGAGCUUCAAAGACAUUAGGGAAUAGGCUUAAGGUCACAUAGAGAGUAAGUGGCAGAGCAGGAGUUGAACACAAGUUUGUGAUUCCAAAAUUCACACUUUAUUUUUCCAUGAGAGCGUGAUUUUUCCAAAAGGUAUUUUAGAAUUGGCCUUUUAUUCGUGUGUGCAUUUGAACGAAAAGGAACUACCAUAACCAAGCCAUAAAUAAACAGUAAAAAUAAACCCAUAGUGAGUUUAUUUGGCUCGCAUUACAGGAUGAAUCACCAUAAAAGAUAAAGGCAAAAGCAGAAAGAGAAGCUGACCUGUGUCUCUGAUUCUUUUCCUACCAGCCUCAGGUACUGAGGAGUCCUUGUGGAAUUCCCCUUUGGAGUUGAGAGUUUCACAAGUUGUACAAUCACAAGGAGGGCACCUGUCUCUUUCUUCGUUUGGGCAUAUUCAACCAACACCUUCUGUCUUCAGCUUGAUGAGUAAGGAAGGACUGAAAGAAAUUCUAUGGCAGUACUGGCUGUGCCUGAGAAACCUCCUGCCACUCAAGCCCAGCAAGGAAACCAGGAUACAUUCUCAGAUCUCUGUGCCAUAUAGUGAUUCUACAUCUGAAGUAAGUUCCCAUCAUUUUAUAGUUGGUGAACUUCAAGGCUUAGUUUAAAUAUUGCAUCACCUUUGAAGAUCUCCCUUCAUCUGAAGGCCAAAUUUCCAUUCCUUUUAUCCACGUUGCAUUGUGAACAUUUGUUUUUAUAAGUAGUGUUUUGUUUUGAUUGCUAUGGCCCAUAGCUAUUUUCCCCAGUUUGGUGGUCUAAAGAGGAAAAGAGAAAUUGCAGAGAGAAUUAAAUGCAGUGAAUUAGUUACACAAAUAAUGAAAGAGGUAAGGAACCUAAGAGAGGGUGAUAAGGAACCCACAGAUUAGCAUCAGCGCGAGUCUGGAGUCACAGAGGUGAGCGGUGUCUGGGGGUUGAAACCUCCAGUGGAAGCUGAGCCCAAGAUGGCCCUGUCCACUGGAGCUGGAGUUCAGGGCCUCCAGCUGCUGCCAGGGGUGUUAACUAAGGUGGGGAAGAAGGUGGGAGUGAGAACACUCUGACUUUCCCUUUGUCUCACUCUCCUGUCUAGUGAAGGUGAGCCUCCUGUCAAACUCAGCUGGACGUAUACAGAUGUGGAGGCAGAUGAGUCUCCCUGUACCAUAUGAAAAAAAGGAAAGGGAUGGAUUAAAAACACAGGAGAACAGAGCAGGCACAUUAUCUCUGGUGGCAUCUCCCAGGCAUUCUAUCAUUCUUAUUAUGGAAUUGGGGUCUAAAACAAGGUAAAAUUCACAUUCAGUAAAAUGUAGCCACAUUAAAUGUGCAGAUUGAACAUUUUUAUGUGUAUAUACAGCUAUGCAGCCACCACCCAGAUCAAGGUAUUCGGUAUAUCUGUUAUCCCACAAGGCCCCUCUUACUCUUUCCAAAUCGAACACAGUCACCGGAAGUCAACAUUCUUCUGGCUUCUAUUUCUAUAGACUCUUUUGCUUAUUAUUCAAUAUCACAUAAAUAGUGUCAAACAAUGUGUGUAUCACUUUGUCUGGUAUCUUUGGUCUAAUGAACAGUUUUUGAGACUCAUCCAGAUUGUCACAUGUAUCAAUAACUUUUUUUAUUGCUGUGUAGUAUUCCAUUGUCUGGAUAUAAUACAACUUACUUCAUUCCCCUUUUGAUAGAAAUUUGAAUGAAUUCUGGUUUUUAACUAUCGUAAGUAUAGCCACUGUGAAAAUUGUUAUACAUCUAUUUUGGUGGAUGUUUCAGUUUGCAUUCUCCAGAAACAAAUGCUGAGAUGAGGAUAAGAAUGCAGGAAGUUUAUUAUGAAAAGAAAAGGAGAAAAAUGAACAAAAACAGAACUGGAAGUGGGGAAGUUUGGUAUUAUAUCUUCCAAAAAGGCUUAAAAGAAUCCAUCAACAGAAUCACCCAGGCCUUAAGUUUUCCUUAUAAGAGGGUUUUAAUUAAAAAUAAAAUUUCUUAAUAGAUAUAAUGCUAUUGGUAUUUAUUAAAUACUUUUUCCCUGUUUUAAUAAUGUUUUUUAUAAAUUUAUCCCAUUUCUGAAAAUAUUCAAGUACAUUUUUAUACAAUUGUAUAUGAUAUUGUCUUAUUAUAAUUUUAAUAUCUGUGGAAUAUAUAUGAUGUCCCCCUUUUCAUUCCUAAUAUUGGUAAUUAAUAUUUUCUCUCUUUUUUUCUUGAUGAUUCCAAGGGCUUGUCAAUUUAAUGCAUUUCUUCAGAGAAUCAUUUUUAGAUAAUGGCUACUUUUUAAUAAAUAAGUACUAUCUAAAUCUGAAAUUUAAAAAUGGUAGUAUUAUCUGAUUUAUAAAUAUUAGAGAUUCAUAACAAAAAAUAUGAAAAAACAUUGGUGUGGAAGAGACAUGAGAUUGUUUCUAUGCUUGAUAACCAUAGUCAUAAAGCUUGAUCUUUUGAAAGUACGUAUUGUAUUAAUUUGAAAAUAAAAAUAAUUAUUCAAUGAAAUGAUGAAUCUUAAUAGUAUUUCCCUUAUAGGCUGUUGUGAGAAUUAAAGAAGAUAAAGCAUUCACAGUGCUUAGCAUAAUAUAGGAUUUCAAUAAAUCAUAGCCAUUUUAUAUGAUAUUUUUUACAUAAACAUAAAAACAUUAAUGCAAAUCUACAUAUGAGAAAAAUUUUACCUCCCAAACACAUUACAUAGUGUUUAUUUGUCUUUGUUCUCUUUCAAUUUUUACUCCUCCAGACACAUAAUUUUCACAUAGCAAGAAAAAUAAUUUACAUGUGUGUUUGUAUUCUUAAACAUCAUAUCAAUUAAACUUUUCAUGUCUCAAUAGUUAUGUUAGUCAGUGUUUUAUCUCCCAGUUGACAAAUGUGCCACAACUUAUUCAUAAUUGUCCUAUUGAAGAAUAUUUCCAUAUUUUUUGGCUAUUGUAAAUGGUGCUUCAAUAAACACUUUUAAAUAUACAGUACUUUUGGCUUUAGGAUAAUUUUAUUCAUCUGAAUUCUCAGAAGUGAAAUGACUACUUCAAAUGAUAUGACUGUACACAUUGUCAUUAAUAAUUAACUUCCAUGUUUCUUUCCAAAACAGUUUUGACAAUUUAUAUCACCAGUAAUAUCUGAAUAUAUUGAUUUCAGCAAAACUUUGACAGCAUUGCCUGUCAUCAGCAUUUUAAUUUUGUGUUAACUUUAGAAAUUUGAUAAAAAUAAUAUGCUAUAUUCAAACCAGAAAAUUGGCUAACAUGGCUCAAUGGACUAGAUUAUUAUUAUUAUUAAUAUCUAUAAUUUCCUUGACAUUAAUUAUCUUAAGGCAUAUUUAUUUCUAGCACUUUUAGCGACGAAUUGUAGAAGAAACACAAGUUAUUUCCCAUCCUAAAAUUUCCUGGCCUACUUAAUGGGAGGUCCCAAGCAGCUUAAAGGAGGUACAUACCUUUGUGCAUUAUUUUUUCUCCCCUUUCCUUUCAGCAACUUUACUUUGUCUUGAACAUAGGUCUUUUGUUUUCUCUAAUUUCUGCUAGGUGGGUGUGUUACAUCUGUCUAUGAAGCUAUCUACAUAUCCAUCCAGAUUUUUGAAAAGUCCACUUUUAAGGACAAGCUAUUUUUCAGACACAUCACAAACUGGUAUAAUCUUUCAAAAGAAUUUUUUUUCCAAAACCAGAGAGUAAAAGAAAGACAAACAGUUCAAGUCAUUUUAUAAGGCCAAUAAAACCUUCAUAGCAAAGCUUGAUGAAGACAUUAAAAGAAAGGAAAAUUAUAGAUCAGGAUCUCAUGAACAUAAAUACAAAGUUGUAGAGAAAUCAUUAGCAGUUUGAAUCUUGAAAAAUGUAAAAAGGAUGACAUGACAAUAAAGUAAGGAUUAUUCCAAGAAUGUAAUAUUUUAAUAUCAAAAAAUUAGAAACAAAAAAGCAAAAAUGUACAAAAAUUAUAUAAAUCUUAAAAGAGAUGAACAGUGCAUUUGAUAAAACUAUAUGUGUUCAUAAUUAACACCCCUAAAAAUGGGUGGAAAGAAGUAUUUACACAAUCUUAGAGUAUCUUAAAGUAAAUAAAUCUAGAGCAAACAUACUUCAUAUACUCAAUAAUUAAGUUGAAAAUUUUCUCCUUGAAAUAAAAAAUGAGAUAAGAUACUUAUAAUCACAACUUUUAUUCAGUAUUUUACUGGAAGUCCUAGCCAAUGUAAUAAGGGAGGAAAAUUAAAUAAAUUGUUUAGGAUUGAAAAGGAAGCAAUAAAAUUCUUAUUAUGUGUAGGCAGCAUGAUUUUAUACAGACAGAAUAUCCAAAGGAAUCUAUGAAGCAAUUAUUAGGAUUAAUAAAUACACUUAGCAAACCCUCUGUAUAAAAAGUUAUUAGAAAAAUUGAUUGCAUUUCAUAUAUCAGAAAGACAUGGAAAAGAAAAAUUAAAAGAUACCAUUUAUAGCAAUAUCACAAAUCAUCAAAUGCUUAGCAUGACAGUUUUUUGCUAUUGACUCUUGGUUUUAAAUUCAUUUUUCCAUUACGUGUACUUGGACUCUGUAUGUCAUAUUCUGAUUUGCCUUCUGACUUCUUCCUGUUACACCCAUGCAAGUUGUCUAUAAGUGGAGCCUUUUUCAAUUUGAGGGGUAUUCAUUAAAGAAUUGACAAUAUAUUUGUUUGUUUAACCCUGUGAAAGCCAAAGAAAACAUUUCUACGAGAUGACAUUUUCAGCAGUCUGGAAUUUGCGAUACCCAGGUAAAGCUCUUAUUAAGUCUUAAUUAGGCUAAGGCCAUGUCCUCCUAAAGGAAUAUUUUGCCUCCGGACUUUCUUUUCCCAUGAGCAUCUUCCCCUCUAUUACUGGUGUCACUAUCUCCUAGCACAUCCAUGGAAACCAGUCAUACCCCUGCCACGCGGCAUUCAGGAUGAAGCCUGAGCUCCUUAACUAGGCAUCCAAGGCUUUUCAACAUGUGAUGCAAACCAACUCCCUCUCUCCCAACUCAUCAUCCCCUAUCCCUUCCCACAGCUUGCUCCAUAUGUUGCAGAAUACUUAGCAUUCACUGAAAAACACUUUCUCAUGCUUCUACUGCAUUGUGAUAUCAUUGCACAAUUUCUUGUUUCUGGAGUGUCAUUUCCUAUCUUUCUACUUGUUAUUCCUCUACUGUAUUAAUUAACUUUCAGGCUGCUAUGAAGAAAUAUCGGAGACUGAGUAAUUUAUAAAACAAAGAGGUUUAACUGACUCACAGUUCCGCAUGGCUGGGGAGGCCUCAGGAAACUUACAAUCAUGGUGGAAGGAGAAGAAAACAUGUCCUUCUUCACAUGGCAGCAGGAGAGAGAAGUGAUGAGGGAAUGGGGAAAAGCCCUGUAUAAAACCAUCAGAUCCCAUGAGAACUCACUCACUAUUACAAGGACAGCAUGGGGGAACUGCUCCCAUGAUCUAGUCACCUCCCAAAAGGUCCCUCCCCCAACACAUGGGGACAUGGGGAUUACAAUUUAAUUUAUAAUUCAAGAUGAGAUUUGGGUGGGGACAAAGAGUCAGACCAUAUCACUUACCAAGUCUUCCUUGAUGAGCAUCCCUUACCAGCUAUUGCAGAACUGUAUCUUCAUCCUCCAUGAUACUUUUCAAGUAAAUCUUCUACAGCGCUUUCUGUACUGUCUAUUGUUUACUUAUGCCCUUAUUUUGCUAGCUAUAUUCAGAGUUCCCUGAAGGUAAGGAACUGUGUCUUAUUAAUCAUGCUAUAUUAUUAUUACUGUGAUCUAUAAUAAAUAAAUACUGAUUUAUUGAUUAAAAUGAGAAAUAACAUCAUUUUAUGGAUCCUGCUGGUCUGUUCUAAAUAAAUGAAACUAGGUAUGUGUGUCUGUGUAUGGGUGUGUGACUUUCUUAAUCUUUUUGUAAGUAAAGAAGCUGGAGAGGGAUGUUUCUUGGACUUUUUAAUCUCAGUUCAGUUCAUUUUCAUGGAGGAUGACCAAAAAAACCAAUUUCAAUUCAACAUGUAUCAGUGCUCUGUGGAUCUAAUUUUUGUUGUUCCAGAGUUUUACACCUUGCACCCCAAACUGAAUUUCAGUUUUCUGGCACGUCUAUCCCUUUGAUAUUCUUCUGUCCUCCUUCAGUUAGAGUUUACAAAGUUGUGUGGUUUUGAUUCAUUAAUGGCUUGCUUUAUG